rnacentral:rRNA from 1 species
UACGUAGGGAGCAAGCGUUGUCCGGAAUCAUUGGGCGUAAAGCGCGCGUAGGUGGCUUCGUAAGUCCGUUGUGAAAGUCAAAGGCUCAACCUUUGAAUGCCGAUGGAUACUGCGGAGCUAGAGUACGGAAGAGGCGAGUGGAAUUCCUGGUGUAGCGGUGGAAUGCGCAGAUAUCAAGCGGAACACCGGUGGCGAAGGCGACCUUCUGGACAGUGACUGACGCUGAGACGCGAAAGCGUGGGGAGCAAACAGG